UACGUAGGGUGCAAGCGUUAAUCGGAAUUACUGGGCGUAAAGCGUGCGCAGGCGGUGAUGUAAGACAGGUGUGAAAUCCCCGGGCUUAACCUGGGAACUGCAUUUGUGACUGCAUCGCUGGAGUGCGGCAGAGGGGGAUGGAAUUCCGCGUGUAGCAGUGAAAUGCGUAGAUAUGCGGAGGAACACCGAUGGCGAAGGCAAUCCCCUGGGCCUGCACUGACGCUCAUGCACGAAAGCGUGGGUAGCAAACAGG
rnacentral:rRNA from 1 species